rnacentral:rRNA from 1 species
GACGUAGGGCGCGAGCGUUGUCCGGAUUGAUUGGGCGUAAAGGGCUCGUAGGCGGCCAACUAAGUCAGACGUGAAAUCCCUCAGCUUAACUGGGGAACUGCGUCUGAUACUGGAUGGCUUGGAUCCGGGAGAGGGAUGCGGAAUUCCAGGUGUAGCGGUGAAAUGCGUAGAUAUCUGGAGGAACACCGGUGGCGAAGGCGGCAUCCUGGACCGGUAUUGACGCUGAGGAGCGAAAGCCAGGGGAGCAAACGGG